rnacentral:rRNA from 1 species
ACACGACUACAUUAGAUACCCGCGUAGUCCCAGCCCUAAACGAUGCGCGUUAGGUGUAUCGGUGACCACGAGUCACCGAGGUGCCGAAAGGGAAACCGUGAAACGUGCCGCCUGGGAAGUACGGUCGCAAGGCUGAAACUUAAAGGAAUUGGCGGGGAGCACCACAACGGGUGGAGCCUGCGGUUUAAUUGGACUCAACGCCGGGAAGCUCACCGGAUAAGACAGCGGAAUGAUUGCCGGGCUGAAGACCCUGCAUGACCAGCUG